AUUGAACGCUGGCGGCAGGCUUAACACAUGCAAGUCGAACGAGUGGCGGACGGGUGAGUAAUGUAUGGGAAUCUCCCUUAUGGAGGGGGAUAACUCCUGGAACCUGUAGCUAAUCCCGCGUACCAUAGGAUUAUCCCAAGUGGGAUUAGGUAGUUGGUGAGGUAAAGGCUCACCAAGCCGACGAUCUCUAGCUGGUCUGAGAGGAUGACCGGCCACACUGGGACUGAGACACGGCCCAGACUCCUACGGGAGGCAGCAGUGGGGAAUAUUGCGCAAUGGGGGCAACCUGACGCAGCCAUGCCGCGUGAAUGAAGAAGGCCUUCGGGUUGUAAAGUUCUUUCGGUAGCGAGGCGUUAACUACAGAAGAAGCACCGGCUAACUCCGUGCCAGCAGCCGCGGUAAUAC
rnacentral:rRNA from 1 species